UACGAGGGGAGCAAGCGUUGUUCGGAUUUACUGGGCGUAAAGGGCUCGUAGGCGGCCAACUAAGUCAGACGUGAAAUCCCUCGGCUUAACCGGGGAACUGCGUCUGAUACUGGAUGGCUCGAGUUUGGGAGAGGGAUGCGGAAUUCCAGGUGUAGCGGUGAAAUGCGUAGAUAUCAGGAGGAACACCUGUGGCGAAAGCGGCUCACUGGACCAUAACUGACGCUGAUGCACGAAAGCUAGGGGAGCAAACAGG
rnacentral:rRNA from 1 species